GGAUGUGAGGGCAAUCUGCCUGCAACAUCUGUCAUACCACUGACUACCAGCUCUAGGGUUAAUUUGACUGACCUGGUUGGCUAGGAGGGUAUUCUUAUCCUCUCUCACUCCCUUCUAAGCCUUGCCAGAAACUGCUUACACCAUCGAAAUAGCCUAUGAUCCUCUCUGAUAGAGAAGGACACUUCUCUUGUCAGGGGUAAACAAAUAGCUGCAUUUCCUUGUUAGAACCUUCAAAUAAGCCCUCAAGGAACAAAGGGAAAAGCCUGAAUAGGAUUGUGUUUAAAAUAGCAUACCUACUCCAAUCAUCAUCUUU
rnacentral:snRNA from 1 species